UCCCACACAACACUGUCCCCCAGAAACAU
rnacentral:piRNA from 1 species